rnacentral:rRNA from 1 species
AUUGAACGCUGGCGGCAUGCUUUACACAUGCAAGUCGAACGGUAACAGGGAGCUUGCUCCGCUGACGAGUGGCGAACGGGUGAGUAAUGCGUCGGAACGUGCCGAGUAGUGGGGGAUAACGCAUCGAAAGGUGUGCUAAUACCGCAUACGUACUGAGGUAGAAAGUGGGGGACCUUCGGGCCUCACGCUAUUCGAGCGGCCGACGUCUGAUUAGCUAGUUGGUGAGGUAAAGGCUCACCAAGGCGACGAUCAGUAGCGGGUCUGAGAGGAUGAUCCGCCAAACUGGAACUGCGACACGGCCCAGACUCCUGCGGGAGGCAGCAGUGGGGAAUUUUGGACAAUGGGCGCAAGCCUGAUCCAGCCAUGCCGCGUGUCUGAAGAAGGCCUUCGGGUUGUAAAGGACUUUUGUCCGGGAACAAAUGCUGGUGUUAAUAGCACUGGGAGCUGAGAGUACCGGAAGAAUAAGCACCGGCUAACUACGUGCCAGCCGCCGCAGUAACAC